GUGGGUAUAGUAUAAAGGUUAGUAUAAUGAGUUGUGGUUUCAUAGAUACGAGUUCAAGUCUCGUUAUUCACCUA
rnacentral:tRNA from 1 species